rnacentral:rRNA from 1 species
UCCAGACUCCUACGGGAGGCAGCAGUGGGGAAUAUUGGGCAAUGGGGGAAACCCUGACCCAGCAACGCCGCGUGAAGGAAGAAGGCCUUCGGGUUGUAAACUUCUUUUACCAGGGACGAAGAACGUGACGGUACCUGGAGAAAAAGCCACGGCUAACUACGUGCCAGCAGCCGCGGUAAUACGUAGGGAGCAAGCGUUGUCCGGAAUUACUGGGCGUAAAGGGCGCGUAGGUGGGCGCUUAAGUCAGGUGUGAAAACUCCGGGCUCAACCUGGAGACUGCACUUGAAACUGGGUGUCUUGAGGGCAGGAGAGGAAAGUGGAAUUCCUAGUGUAGCGGUGAAAUGCGUAGAUAUUAGGAGGAACACCAGUGGCGAAGGCGACUUUCUGGACUGUAUCUGACGCUGAGGCGCGAAAGCGUGGGUAGCGAACGGGAUUAGAUACCCGAGUAC